rnacentral:tRNA from 1 species
GCCGCCAUAGCUCAACGGAUAGAGCAACCGCCUUCUAAGCGGUAGAUGAAGGUUCGAUUCCUUCUGGUGGCA